UACGAAGGGGGCUAGCGUUGUUCGGAAUUACUGGGCGUAAAGCGCACGUAGGCGGAUAUUUAAGUCAGGGGUGAAAUCCCAGAGCUCAACUCUGGAACUGCCUUUGAUACUGGGUAUCUCGAGUAUGGAAGAGGUGAGUGGAAUUCCGAGUGUAGAGGUGAAAAUUCGUAGAUAUUCGGAGGAACACCAGUGGCGAAGGCGGCUCACUGGUCCAUUACUGACGCUGAGGUGCGAAAGCGUGGGGAGCAAAACAGG
rnacentral:rRNA from 1 species